rnacentral:lncRNA from 1 species
CACGACUUAAAUACAUUGAUACACAGUUGAUGUAUCUGAAGUUGGAAUUCACGUGUUAAUAUCUUAUACAUUAUUUGAAUAGAAGCUAAUUAAGAGAAAAACUUGAUGAACCAUUGGACUAACAUCUGUACAUUUUAUGCUCAUAGACGAAAAAGUCUUCUGUCACUUCCCAACUAAACUUGCAGAUAUUUGAUUGACAAUAACAACAACGUUGAUGGAGAUGGAGAUUAUUAUCGUCAGAGAAGAGCUGAACCACUUGUUCGUCCUGCCGGAAAGUGACACUGUUCAUGGAGACUAUUGAUGUCCGGGAAGAGCUGAACCACUUGUUAGUAAUGCUGGAUAUGACCGGAACUGGACAUGUUCGAUGCACUGCCAAAGAGAAAUCCAAUACUGGGCGAAGAGAUUUGAAGGAUGUUUAAUUG